rnacentral:rRNA from 1 species
GUGUCAGCCGCCGCGGUAAUACGUAGGUGGCUAGCGUUAUCCGGAUUUAUUGGGCGUAAAGAGGGCGCAGGCGGCUUUUCAAGUCGGAUGUAAAAUCUCCCGGCUUAACUGGGAGGGGUCAUUCGAUACUGUUGGGCUAGAGGGCAGCAGAGGGGGGUGGAAUUCCCGGUGUAGUGGUGAAAUGCGUAGAUAUCGGGAGGAACACCAGUGGCGAAAGCGGCCCCCUGGGCUGUUACUGACGCUUAGGCCCGAAAGCGUGGGGAGCAAACAGGAUUAGAUACCCUGGUAGUCCACGCUGUAAACCAUGGACACUAGGUAUGGGGAGUAUCGACCCUCUCUGUGCCGAAGCUAACGCUUUAAGUGUCCCGCCUGGGAAGUACGGCCGCAAGGCUAAAACUCAAAUGAAUUGGCGGGG